rnacentral:rRNA from 1 species
CUCAUGGUUUCACGGUAUUGCAAUGAGAACAAUUUAAAACCCUUAGCGAGAAUCAAGUGGAGGACAAGUCUGGUGCCAGCACCCGCGGUAAUUCCAGCUCCACUAGCGUAUAUUAAAGUUGUUGCAGUUAAAAAGCUCGUAGUUGAACCUCUGUCUGGGGCUAGUUUUGGCUUUGGUCAGGCUAGUUCUAGGCAUCCGCCUACAAGACUUAGAGGGCAUUCAGUUGUUCACUAGGAGGAGUAGGCAUUUUACUUUGAAAAAAUUAGAGUGUUUAAGGCAGGCAAUCGCCCGCAUAUAUUAGCAUGGAAUAAUAGAAUAGGACACUUUUCCAUUUCGUUGGUUAUUGGAAUCGUGUAAUGAUUAAUAGGGACAGUUGUGGGCAUUUGUAUUUAAUUGUCAGAGGUGAAGUUCUUGGAUUUAUUAAAGACAAACUAACGCGAAAGCAUUUGCCAAGGAUGUUUUCAUUAAUCAAGAAGGAAAGUUAGGGGAUCAAAGACGAUCAGAUACCGUCCUAGUCUUAACUAUAAACUAUUCCGACUCAAUGUUUGACUGGCUUAUAUAACCAGUUGAGCGUUGUAUGAGAAAUCAAAGUCUUUAGGUUCUGGGGGGAGUAUGGUUGCAAAGCUGAAACUUAAAGGAAUUGACGGAAGAGCACAACCAGGAGUGGAUUCUGCGGCUUAAUUUGACUCAACACGGGGAAACUUACCAGGUUAAAACAAUAGUGGGAUUGACAGUUUGAGAGCGCUUUCUUGAUUGGUUGGGUGGUGGUGCAUGGCCGUUCUUAGUUGGUGGAGUGAUUUGUCUGCUUAAUUGCGUUAACGAACGAGACCUUAACCUGCUUACUAGACUGGCGAUCAUCAAUCGUUAGCUCUUCUUAGAGGGACUUUGGUUGUUUUAACUCCAAGGAAGUUUGAGGCAAUAACAGGUCUGUGAUGCCCUUAGAUAUCCUGGGCCGCACGCGUCAUACAAUGACUAGUUCAGAAAGUUUUCUCCUGACCCGAAAGGGGAUGGGUAAUCUUGAUAAUACUAGUCGUGUUAGGGAUCGAUCUUUGCAAUUAUAGAUCUUGAACGAGGAAUUCCUAGUAAGUGCGGUUCAUCAGACCGUACUGAUUACGUCCCUGCUCUUUGUACACACCGCCCGUCGCUUCUACCGAGUGGGUGGUCCGGUGAGAUAAUUGAACUUCGUAGGUAACUGAGAGGAAAGAUUAUCAAACCUAUCCACCUCGAGGAAGAAGAAGUCGUAACAAGG